GAGAAUUCGAGCGUGGCGCGGGUGGGCCAGCAGUGUUUGGGGACCCGGAGCACUCUCCACAGCUGCUGGUCCGGGUGCUAAGUCCCUCACUGCCCAGCACCUGCAGCGCCGAUCGGCCGCUCUUGAGUGCGGGGCCUGCAGAGCCCACGCCCACCCGGAACUCGCGCUGGCCCGUGAGCGCCGUGCCGCAGCCCCGGUUCCCGCCCGCGCCUCUCCCUCCACACUUCCCCGCAAGCAGAGGGAGCCGGCUCCGGCCUCAGCUGGCCCAGAGAGGGGCUCCCUCAGUGCAGUGGCGAGCUGAAGGGCUCCUCAAGGGCGGCUGGAGUGGACGCUGAGGCUGAGGAGACGCCAAGAGCAAAUGAGGGCUGCUAGUACGUUGUCACCUCUCACUGGUAACUACAGUUGCUGUCAGUUUAACUGAUGCAAGAGAAGAUAAGGAAGACAAGAUCUCAACCACUUUCAGCAAAGCUUUGCGGAGAAUGCAACAUCCUUCAAGACACCAUGAAGCUCCAUGCAUCUGGUCAUCUUGCUUCUUUGGGGAAUAAAUUUAUUGUUCUCUGCUUCAGGGCAGGCACACUUGGCCAGUAAAGAAAAUCCCUCCAGCAGAGAAUUGCAGAUACUCACAGCAAGAAGCCUUUCUUGUGAACGGAGGAUGGAUGUGGAGCUGGUCCGAGCAGUCUGCCUACUGCAUCUGCUAUGACACCCAGCAAACUGGAAGGGAAAAGCAGUUACAAAGUUUCCAACCAGCACAAAUUCCAUAGUCAGGUUUUCCACAUGUGGGGAAAUCACAGGGGUCAGCACAUCCAACGUGCAAUGGACAAGCCUUGCACUGGGUAAACCACGUUCAUGGUCAUGGAAUCUCAUUUACCAGGUCCUGUGUAUUCUUCCUUUUGAUGAAGUUUGAGAAUGAAAGCUAUGAAAUUGGAUGAAAGCGUCUCAAACCACAACUAAGAAGCACUUCAGCAGACCAGAGGUCAAGUAACUUUACACUGCUUAACAUAAAUGUUGAUAUAAAAUAGGAUCUUAAUUUAACAGUAGACACAUAUAUUAAAAAGCUAUACAUAAAGCCAGAACUUCCUACAAGUACCUAAAAACCACUGAAAAUGCCUAAUAGUUUUUCUUUUUAUAUCUGAUAUUUAGAGGAAAAGCUGUGAGUUAUAUUUUGGCCACUUAAUCACUGAAUAUUUACCCACGGACCUUUCACUGAAUAUAUUAAACACUAAAAACCUGCUGUUGAGUGGCCACUAUUUGAACUUUCUUUCUUUGAAGACUUUUCCUUUCAGAAUUUAGCAUUAAAAGAACAUUCCAUUUCUGUUGUUGGCAAGCUAGGGAUAUUUUAGUAAAGUAAUUUUGAGCAUAAUGUCAUGAAUCUAAUUACCAGGUAUUAUUAAGUUACCAGUUCUUUUAAAAAGUAAAUGUUAAGGAGGUGUGAGGAGAAGGAAAAUAUUUUAUAAAAUAUUACAAUAAAGCACAGGAUUGACCAUUGACUAAUGGGUGUUUUAGUGUAUUGUUAGAAAUAUGGAAAGGGUAGUUAAGGAAAUUACCAACCAGCAGCAGAAACUGUGAACUCACCAAACCGAGAUUUCAAUGUAGAUUUCGUCUUUUUUAUGUGGCCAUAAAGACAGAAUUAGAGUUUGGACAGAAAGUAAUCCAAAGAUGUCCACAUCUGGUUGUUUACAUUCAUUUGUUGGGUUUACAUCUUAACGUGUUCAAAGGAAGACAUACAAGUGACCCAGAAACAUAUUUUAAAAAAGUACAACAUCACUAAUCAUCAGAGAAAUGCAAAUUAAAACCACAGUGAGAUAUCAUCUUACACUAGCCAGAAUGGCCAUGAUUAAAAAGCCAAAAAUCCAACAAGUGCUGAUGAGGAUACAGCAGAAAGGGAACACUUAUAUACUGUUGGUGGGAAUGUAAAUUAGUACAACCUCUAUGGAAAACAGUAUGGAGAUUUCUUAAAGAACUAAAAAUAGAACUACCAUUUGAUCCAGCAAUCCAACUACUAAGUAUCUACCCAAAGGAAAAUAAAUCAUUAUACUAAAAAGACAACUGCACUCAUAUGUUUAUCACAGUACUAUUCAUAAUAGUAAAGUUAUGUAAUCAACCUAAGUAUUUAUCAAUGGAUGAUUUGACAAAGAGAAUAUCAUAUUAUAUAUACAUAUAUAUUACUUCUCAGCCAUAGAAAAGAAUGAAAUUAUGUCUUUUGCUCAACAAGGAUUGAACUAGAGGCCAUUGUCCUAAGUGAAAUAACUCAGAAAUAGAAAGUCAAAUACUGCAUGUUCUCACUUGUAAGCUAAACAAUGGGUACACAUGAACAUACAGAGUGGAAUAAUAGACACUGGAGACUCUAAAGGUGGGAAGGUGGGAGGAGGAUAGGGUUGAAAUAUUACCUAUUGGGUACAAUGUUCACUAUUUGGAUGACAGGUACACUAAAAGCCCAGACUUCCCCACUAUGCAAUAUAUUUAUGUAGCAAAACUGAACUUGUAUCUUCUAAAUCUAAAUAAAUACAUACAUAAAACCCUAAAAAACACUAAGUAAACUAAGAAAAGAUGGAAAUUUCCUUGACCUGAUAAAGGAUAUUUAUGAAAUUAUUAUAGUUAAUAUAAUGCUUAGUGGUGAAAGACUAACCAUAUUCCCUUCAAGAUUGGACUCAGGGCAAAGAUGUACCCUCUUAAUGUUGUAAUAGAAGUCCUAGUCUAUGAAAUAGGGCAAGAAAAUGAAAUAAAGAAUAUAAUGUUUGUUGAUGUAGAAAAUUCUAAGGAACGUAUAAGCAACCACUAGAACUAAUAAGCAAAUUUAACAAUAUUACAGGAUACAUGGCCAAUACUCCACAAUCGUCCUUUUAUGUACUAGCAGCAAACAAUUGAAAAAUUUUUAAAAAUCCACUUACAAUAGCAAUUAGAAAUAUGUAAAAUACUUACAAAUAAAUUAAAUAAAACCAUACAAAAUUUCUACACUAAAAAUUACAAAACAUUGUUGAGAUAAAUUAAGGAAAACCCAAAUAAAUGAAGAUAUAUACUAUGUUCAUGGAUUAGAAGACCCAAAUGAACAUGAGAAAGAAAAAGACAAUUGAAAGAUUUACCCUAUCUGAAUUCAAAAUGUGCUAAAGUUAAUCAAGAUAGUAUAUGGUAUUGGCAUAAGGUCUAACAAAUAUCAAUGGAACAGAAUAGAGAGCUCGGAAACAGACUCACACUUACACACUCAAUUUUCAACAGAUGCACCAAAGUAAUUAUACUGGGGGCAAAGGAAAAUUUUUUCAACAAGAGGUGCUGAAACAAUUGGAUAUUUAAAUGGAAAAGUUUAUGCAAAAGGAAUCUGAAUGUUCAUCAAUGCUUUUGUCUGGUAUGGUAAUCUGAUGUGUUAUCCUUUCCUAUUUACAUAUUGGUAAUGUAGUAUCAGCUAAACAAAGCACUGUUUCCACUAAUAUAGUGAUAUUUCUACUGCAGGGGUACUCUUUUUCUUCUUAUAAAAAUAAUCCUUUUAAAUUAUAAAAGCAACAGAUUUUCACCAACAACAGCUCCAAAAAUAACAUAUCAAGU